rnacentral:lncRNA from 10 species
CGCCUGCCUAGGCCUCUCAAAGGGUUGGGAUUACAGGCAUGAGCCACCACGCCUGGCGUAUGUCUUAGUUGUUUUUUUUUUUUUUUUUAUUGAAAUGGAGUCUUGCUCUGUCACCCAGGCUGGAGUGCAGUGGCGUGAUCUUGGCUCACUGCAACCUCCACCCCUGGGGUUCAAGCAAUUCUCUUGCCUCAGCCUCCUGAGUAGCUGGGACUACAGGCGCAUGGUGCCAUGCCCAGCUAAUUUUUUUUUUUUUUUUUUGUAUUUUAGUAGAGACGGAUUUUACCAUGUUGCCCAGGCUGGUUGCUAACUCCUGAGCUCAGGCAAUCCGCCUGUCUCAGCCUCCCAAAGUGCUGGGAUUAUGGGAUGGAGCCACCUCACCCGGCCUAUGUCUUAGUUUUUAAGAAAAAAGAUUUAAAAGUUAAAAAAAAAAAAUUGAAAAUAGGCUGGGUGCGGUGGCUUAUGCCUGUAAUCCCAGCACUUUGGGAGGCUGAGGGCGGAUCACCUGAGGUCAGGAGUUUGAGACCAGCUUGGCCCACAUGGUAAAACCCCAUCUCUACUAAAAAUACAAAAAUUAGCCGGUCACAGUGGCGCAGGGCUGUAAUCCUAGCUAC